UGAGGAAUUUUGCGCAAUGGGGGAAACCCUGACGCAGCAACGCCGCGUGGGUGAUGAAGGCCUUCGGGGCGGAAAGCCCUGUCGGGCGGGAAGAACGUCCCUUCGGGGAAUGACGGUACGGAGAGAGGAAGAAAGGGCUAACUACGGGGAAGCAGCCGCGGUAAUACGGAGGGUGCAAGGGUUAUUCGGAAUUACUGGGCGUAAAGGGCGUGCAGGCGGGAGAGCAAGUCUGAUGUUAAAGCCCGGGGCUUAACCCCGGAAGGGCGUUGGAAACUGCUUUUCUUGAGUUCUGGAGAGGAAGGGAGAAUUCCCGGUGUAGAGGUGAAAUUCAUAGAGAUCGGGAGGAACAUCAAUGUCGAAUGCGCCCUUCUGGACAGCAACUGACGCUGAGACGCGAAAGCGUGGGGAGCAAACA
rnacentral:rRNA from 1 species